AUUGAACGCUGGCGGCAUGCUUUACACAUGCAAGUCGAACGGCAGCGCGGGCUUCGGCCUGGCGGCGAGUGGCGCACGCGUGAGUAAUGCAUCGGAACGUGCCCCGUCGUGGGGGAUAGCCCGGCGAAAGCCGGAUUACUACCGCAUACGACCUGCUGGGGAAAGCGGGGGACCGACAGGCCUCGCGCUAUUGGAGCGGCCGAUGUCGGAUUAGCUAGCUGGUGGGGUAAAGGCUUACCAAGCCGACGAUCCGUAGCUGGUCUGAGAGGACGACAAGCCACACGGGGACUGAGACACGGCCCAGACGCCUACGGGAGGCAGCAGUGGGGAAUGUGAGACAGUGGGGGCAACCCUGAUCCAGCCAUGCCGCGUGCGAGAAGGAGGCCUUCGGGUUGUAAACCGCUUUUGUUCGGGAAGAAAUCCUCUGGGCUAAUACCCCGGGGGGAUGACGGUACCGGAAGAAUAAGCACCGGCUAACUACGUG
rnacentral:rRNA from 1 species